GAUGAACGCUGGCGGCGUGCCUAAUACAUGCCAGUCGAGCGAACGGACGAGAAGCUUGCUUCUCUGAUGUUAGCGGCGGACGGGUGAGUAACACGUGGAUAACCUACCUAUAAGACUGGGAUAACUUCGGGAAACCGUAGCUAAUACCGGAUAAUAUUUUGAACUGCAUGGUUCAAAAGUGAAAGACGGUCUUGCUGUCACUUAUAGAUGGAUCCGCGCUGCAUUAGCUAGUUGGUAAGGUAACGGCUUACCAAGGCAACGAUGCAUAGCCGACCUGAGAGGGUGAUCGGCCACACUGGAACUGAGACACGGUCCAGACUCCUACGGGAGGCAGCAGUAGGGAAUCUUCCGCAAUGGGCGAAAGCCUGACGGAGCAACGCCGCGUGAGUGAUGAAGGUCUUCGGAUCGUAAAACUCUGUUAUUAGGGAAGAACAUAUGUGUAAGUAACUGUGCACAUCUUGACGGUACCUAAUCAGAAAGCCACGGCUAACUACGUG
rnacentral:rRNA from 1 species